rnacentral:tRNA from 1 species
GGACGUGUAGCUCAGCGGGAGAGCACCUCGUUGACAUCGAGGGGGUCCACAGUUCGAUCCUGUGCACGUCCACCA